GCAAGUCUGGUGCCAGCAGCCGCGGUAAUUCCAGCUCCAAUAGCGUAUAUUAAAGUUGUUGCAGUUAAAAAGCUCGUAGUUGAAUUUCGAGAUCAGUACGCUGGUCGUGCCUUCGGUAUGUACUGGUGUCACUGGUUUCUCCCUUCUGAAGAACCGUUAUGUCAUUAAGUUGGUGUGGCGGGGAAUCAGGACUGUUACUUUGAAAAAAUUAGAGUGUUUAAAGCAGGCUCGCGCUUGAAUACAUUAGCAUGGAAUAAUGAAAUAGGACGUUUGACCCUAUUUUGUUGGUUUCUAGGAUCGACGUAAUGAUUAAUAGGGAUAGUUGGGGGCAUUAGUAUUCAAUUGUCAGAGGUGAAAUUCUUGGAUUUAUUGAAGACUAACUACUGCGAAAGCAUUUGCCAAGGAUGUUUUCAUUAAUCAAGAACGAAAGUUAGGGGAUCGAAGACGAUCAGAUACCGUCGUAGUCUUAACCAUAAACUAUGCCGACUAGGGAUCGGAUGAUGUUAAUUUUUUAAUGACUCAUUCGGCGCCUUACGGGAAAC
rnacentral:rRNA from 1 species